CCUGAAAGUAUGCUUAUCGGGACUAGUUUUCCUUCUGGUCCCUAAUUCCCAAUUUGUGAUAACGAAGAGACUUAAAUAUGGUCUCUAUGUUUCUGCGACACUGGUCGCUAAAGUAUGUACUUAACGGGACAAAAGGCCCAACUUGCAUCACUAAAGCCCAUUUUUCUUUUUAUUCGGUCAUAGUGAAAUCUAUUUUCCAAAAAUGAUAAAUCCAUCACUACAACUGUAAAAUUCCUGAACCCUAAUUUCCUCCCCUUAAAGUGGCCUGGUGUUGAAAGCUAGCCUUUUGCUUCAUCUUCGCCAAUUGAGGACAUCGCUGAUGUGAUACAGGACCAUAUUUUCAGCUUAAAAUUUUGAUUAUAUUCAAGUGCUACUCCCACAAUUAGAAGAAGAAGAAGAUACGUCUGGGCUCUGCAACAAGUGCAAUAAUCAAGCCAAUGAAGGUAAUUUUCUUUUAUAUUCAUUUACAAUGGAAUUUCUGAAAUUCAAUCAGUGGUAGGGUUUUCUUCUACUCAAUCAUUCCCACGGAGAAAAAGGCAAGUCUCUUGUCAUUUUCAACCAAACAUGAGAAAAUUGGAAAACAUUUUCCUUCAUACCAAACACACCCCCAAUUGGUACUAAUUUUCUCUUUGUGUAUUGUGUUGGCUGUUCAAUGGGUGUGGUUGGACAUCGCAGUCAAUAAGCAGUCUUACACUUGUACAUUUCAUUACACUACAAUUAUUGAAAGAGAUGUCACGUUUAUGAUUAGCAAUUUCUGACAAAAAUACUGUAAAAAUGUUAGUUUGCAAUCACUUCUUUCACUUGUUUUGUGUUGGCUCAGUAACUCAAUGAAGAAGUAGGGUUUGGAAAACAGUUGUACUUGAGGUGCGUAGAGGUUAAUUUCCUAAAUCACAACUAUGGCAAACCAUAGAAGUACCUGCACAAGCUCCAAAAGAGUAAUAGUAGUUGUGUGCUACUGGCUGUGUCUAGCCUUUCUCAAAGUCUUAAUCAAACUCUUUGCUAUUUUCCAAAACAGGAGAAAAGAGUUAUUUUGUACUUGAUGUACGUAGGGGUUAAUUUUAUAAAUCAUAACCAUGGCAAACCACAGAAGUACCUGCCCAAGCUCCAAAAGAGUAGUAGUAGUUGUGUGCUACUGGCUGUGUCUAGCCUUUCUCAAAGUCUUAAUCAAACCCUUUGCUUUUGACCAACAACAUCUAGGUACCGUCUUAAAUUAACAAAGGGAGCAGUACUCUCAAUAAAGAGUACCAUAAAUAUAUGUAUCUAUGCUUGACCCCUUAAAAGAAAUUGAAAGCCCAUGAUGUAAGACACACUCCAUUCAGCCCAAGGGUGGGAAAUAAUAGAAAAAUCAUUGUCAAGUCUGCCAGAAAGUAGCCAGUGGAGAUACUGAGUAUGGUGGCUAAAAAAUAUGAUGUUGUAUUGAUCAUUAACUCAUUCUGAGAAUCAUCACGGAAAAGGUUUGAUUCAAGCAACAGAUAUAAAUAAGCAGCUGCUACAAGGAGCGCGUGGAAAGUUGAAAAUGCUCUGUUUCAUUCAAGUUUCUUCUGGUCACCAAGUUUAACAUAUCCUAGUGGAAUGAGAGACAUUUAUCUCAAGUUGCAUAACAUAUUACACACAACAUUAUAACAUGUACAUUUGGAGAAGUUUUUCCUGGUAUAUCACAGGAUUGAAACUUAAAUAAGGAUCUUGAAAGGCAAUUGUUUGUCAGAACACAUUGCAUUCUUGACAUCUUUAUAGUAUAUUUGAAUACGUAGCUGCUAAGAGCCAAAAAAAUUUAAGAUAAAAUUGUCAUGUUAUGAGCUCUAACUAUUGAAUUAAUUGGUAAUCUUUAUGUGACUAUUGGUAAAAAGAUUUUUUUGAGGUGAAGAUUUGUGCUUACUUGUUGAAGAUAGAGAAUGAUACUGCAUUUAAAAACAUCAUUCUUAAGUUAUUAUCUAUGUUCUUUUGGUUCCUGUCCUUUCCAUUAGUGCAAAUUGAAGGCGUAGGUGUAAAACUUUGUAUGAGUAAAAAAUUAUUUAUGUUUUACUAGAACGUAAAUAUAAUGGCCUACAUUUGAAAAAUAAAGUAGCUUAUUUUAUAUGAAUCUGCAAUUGGAAAAUGUGAUUGAACUAUACAUGAGAAUGAUAUAUUAUUUAAAGUGGGACGUAUACAAUAUUGCAUGUUCCUCUCCAUUAAUGUUGUUAUCUUUAGACUUCACGUAUCCACUUAUUUUUGUUAUCUUCAGAUGUUAUGUGAUAUUUAUAAUUUGAUAAUGUCAUAAAGAACAUCCUUCUUAUACCUACAGGAUUUGAAGAUUACAAGUUUCAAGUCAAAGCUUCAAGUUUUGAAGACUUUCUACAAGACUACCAAUUGGUUGUGUUUUAUUAGGACGUUUAGGAAAAACAUAACAUUUUUUGUCAAGUGAUUGUGUAAAUAGUUUAUGAUAUUCAAAUACAAGUGAGAUGUUAUACAUUUAUAAUAUGCAAGCAUAAUAUUAUUGAUAA